rnacentral:rRNA from 1 species
AUUGAACGCUGGCGGCAUGCCUUACACAUGCAAGUCGAACGGCAGCACGGGAGCAAUCCUGGUGGCGAGUGGCGAACGGGUGAGUAAUGUAUCGGAACGUGCCCAGUCGUGGGGGAUAACGUAGCGAAAGCUACGCUAAUACCGCAUACGAUCUGUGGAUGAAAGCGGGGGACCGUAAGGCCUUGCGCGAUUGGAGCGGCCGAUAUCAGAUUAGGUAGGUGGUGGGGUAAAGGCCUACCAAGCCGACGAUCUGUAGCUGGUCUGAGAGGACGACCAGCCACACUGGGACUGAGACACGGCCCAGACUCCUACGGGAGGCAGCAGUGGGGAAUUUUGGACAAUGGGCGCAAGCCUGAUCCAGCAAUGCCGCGUGCAGGAUGAAGGCCUUCGGGUUGUAAACUGCUUUUGUACGGAGCGAAAAGGCUCUCUCUAAUACAGGGGGCUCAUGACGGUACCGUAAGAAUAAGCACCGGCUAACUACGUGCCAGCAGCCGCGGUAAAAC